rnacentral:lncRNA from 1 species
CAUGCAAAACAAAUGAUGGUGUUCAAUGUCUUUACACCUUGUCAAACACAUGCAGCAACUUUGGGCCUUUUACACACACAUUUUCUGCUAUCUUUCUGUUGUCUUUCCACUGAUAGGAAUCGACAGUUUCAGCCAACACAUGGAAAGGUAGUGUGAAGGAAGCAUGAGUGCACAAACAGCUAGCAGCACAUGGGAAGGUAGUGUGAAGGAAGCAUGAGUGCACAAACAGCUAGCAACACAUGGGAAGCUCUUUUUGAACUUCCAAUCUCUUUAACUAGGAUUCCUUCAGAUUUUAGCACACGUUCAACGCCUUUUAAACACCAAAAUGUCCAAACCAUAUGCUAUC